rnacentral:rRNA from 1 species
ACGAACGCUGGCGGCGUGCCUAAUACAUGCAAGUAGCACGCUGAAGGAGGAGCUUGCUCUUCUGGAUGAGUUGCGAACGGGUGAGUAACGCGUAGGUAACCUGCCUGGUAGCGGGGGAUAACUAUUGGAAACGAUAGCUAAUACCGCAUAACAGUAGAUGUUGCAUGACAUUUACUUAAAAGGUGCAAUUGCAUCACUACCAGAUGGACCUGCGUUGUAUUAGCUAGUUGGUGGGGUAACGGCUCACCAAGGCGACGAUACAUAGCCGACCUGAGAGGGUGAUCGGCCACACUGGGACUGAGACACGGCCCAGACUCCUACGGGAGGCAGCAGUAGGGAAUCUUCGGCAAUGGACGGAAGUCUGACCGAGCAACGCCGCGUGAGUGAAGAAGGGUUUCGGAUCGUAAAGCUCUGUUGUAAGAGAAGAACGAGUGUGAGAGUGGAAAGUUCACACUGUGACGGUAUCUUACCAGAAAGGGACGGCUAACUACGUG